rnacentral:lncRNA from 1 species
GUAAUUCUGGAGAUUAAUGUUGUCUUUCCUGUUUGUGGUGAACUUGCAUUCUUUUUUCCUUUUUCAGCUUCUGUCCAGGGUCCCUGGGAGAGAGCCAUCUCACCAAACAAAGUGCCCUACUAUAUCAACCUGCCAUCUUUGAUCUGGUCUGUUUUUAUUCUUCUACUGCCCAUCAAUUCUUCAUAAUUUAGUUCUAAAGCUAUAAUAUUGGUCCUAGAUCUUCAUUACUACAGUUCUCAAGAAAUUUGAUUUUAUGCCUCUAUUUUGUUAUCUCAGAAGAAUGGCAGUAAGAGGACUCUUUUGACACAUUCUUUAGGUUUACCUUUUGUCUUAGAAAUUUUUCCAGAGGAGAUACCUCUUAACUUUGGAAAUUCUCUUUGAACAUACUUUGAUCCUGAUUUUUAAUUUUCUUAUUUUCUAUGUUUUAAUUCAUUAAUUUAGUCACCCUAAAUUACAUAUUUUAGAUACCUACUUAGAAUCACAAGUUUUAUUAACAAAUAUAUUGAUUUAGACGGGUACUGUAUUGCUUUACUUCCAGGCUACAUUUUAUGGAACAAUUUUACUCAAACUCUUAACAUCCAUCUUCUACCUCAAUUUGUUGUC